rnacentral:rRNA from 1 species
ACCAAAGACGGUGAAAGUCCAGUAUAUGAAAGAUAAGUUAGGGUAGGUAGAAUCCAGAGUAGUGCGAGACACAGGGAAUCUCGUAUGAAAGAGCGGGGACCAUCCCGUAAGGCUAAAUACUACUUGGUAACCGAUAGUGAACGAGUACCGUGAGGGAAAGGUGAAAAGGACCCCGGGAGGGGAGUGAAAGAGAACCUGAAACCCUAUGUUUACAAGCAGAUAGAGCGAUUUAAGGCGCGAUAUCGUACUUUUUGUAGAACGGUCCAGCGAGUUAUUGUAUGUGGCGAGGUUAAAUUCUAAGAAGGAAUGGAGCCGAAGAGAAAUCGAGUCUGAAAAGGGCGAAUAAGUCAUAUAUAAUAGACCCGAAACCGGGUGACCUAUCCAUGGUCAGGAUGAAGCUAAAGUAAAAUUUAGUGGAGGUCCGAACUGAUUGUCGUUAAAAAGGCACCGGAUGAACUGUGGAUAGCGGAGAAAUUCCAAUCGAACUCGGAGAUAGCUGGUUCUCCUCGAAAUAGCUUUAGGGCUAGCCUUGAGGUAAAACAUGUGGGGGUAGAGCACUGAAUGAUUUAGGGGCCAAACCAGGUUACCGACAUCUAUCAAACUGCGAAUACCAUGUGGAAGUACUCAGGAGUCAGACUGCGGGAGCUAAGUUCCGUGGUCAAAAGGGAAAGAGCCCAGACCGACAAUUAAGGUCCCAAAGAGAUAGUUAAGUGGAAAACGAUGUGAAAAUGCAAAGACAACCAGGAUGUUGGCUUAGAAGCAGCCAUACAUUAAAAGAGUGCGUAACAGCUCACUGGUCGAGUGAAUUUGCGCGGAAAAUUACCGGGGCUAAACUAUCCACCGAAAUUACGGAUUGCAGUACAUUUAACAAUGUAUGCGGAAAGAGAAAAGAAGAAAGAAGUAUAUAUUGUUAAGUGUACUGUAGUGGUAGAGGAGCAUUCUGUAGUAGGAAGAAGCUAAAGCGAGAGCAUUAGUGGACGAGACAGAAGAGAGAAUGCUGGAAUAAGUAGCGAGAGCAAGGUGAGAAUCCUUGCCGUCGAAAGUCUAAGGUUUCCUGGGGAAGGUUCGUCCGCCCAGGGUAAGUCGGGACCUAAGGAGAGGCCGAGAAGGCGUAUCUGAUGGACAGCAGGUUGAAAUUCCUGCACUACCGAUACUUUAAAAAACGUCAAGGGACGCAGGAGAGGAAGGAAAGCGAGGAAGAGGAAAGACUCGUAUCGAAAGAUAUAGUGAAAAAAUGAAGUAACGAAUUUCCAAGAAUCACACUGACGAGAAAAGCUUGAUGACAUUAAGUAAAGGUACCCGUACCGCAAACCGACACAGGUAGAUGAGGAGAGGAUCCUAAGACGAACGGGAGAAGCAUUGUUAAGGAACUCGGCAAAAUGACCCCGUAACUUCGGGAGAAGGGGAACCUAGGUAAAACUAGGUCGCAGAGAAAAGGCCCAAGCAACUGUUUAACAAAAACACAGGUUUCUGCUAAAUCGAAAGAUGAAGUAUAGGAGCUGACGCCUGCCCAGUGCUGGAAGGUCAAGGGGAGAUGUUAGAAGAAAUUCGAAGCAUAGAACCAAAGCCCCAGUGAACGGCGGCCGUAACUAUAACGGUCCUAAGGUAGCGAAAUUCCUUGUCAGGUAAGUUCUGACCCGCACGAAAGGCGUAAUGAUUUGGGCACUGUCUCGACAAUGUACCCGGCGAAAUUGUAGUACUAGUGAAGAUGCUAGUUACCUGCGACAAGACAGAAAGACCCCAUGGAGCUUUACUGUAGUUUGAUAUUGGGUUUUGGUAAUUUAUGUACAGGAUAGGUGGGAGACAGAGAAGGAUGUGCGUCAGCAUAUCUGGAGUCAACGUUGGGAUACCACUCUUAAGUUAUUGAAAUUCUAACUUGUGAUCAUAAACUGGUCAGAGGACAAUGUCAGACGGGCAGUUUGACUGGGGCGGUCGCCUCCAAAAGAGUAACGGAGGCGCCCAAAGGUUCCCUCAGUGCGGACAGAAAUCGCACAAAAGAGUGUAAAGGCAGAAGGGAGCUUAACUGGAAGAUAGACAUAUCGAGCAGAUACGAAAGUAGGGCUUAGUGAUCCGGUGGAAUUGAAUGGAAAAGCCAUCGCUCAACGGACAAAAGUUACCCUGGGGAUAACAGGCUUAUCUCCCCCAAGAGUUCACAUCGACGGGGAGGU